AAGACCUUGCACUUUUGGAGCGGCCGAUGUCUGAUUAGUUAGUUGGUGGGGUAAUGGCCUACCAAAGCUUCGAUCAGUAGCUGGUCUGAGAGGACGGCCAGCCACACUGGGACUGAGACACGGCCCAGACUCCUACGGGAGGCAGCAGUGGGGAAUUUUGGACAAUGGGCGCAAGCCUGAUCCAGCCAUGCCGCGUGAGUGAAGAAGGCCUUCGGGUUGUAAAGCUCUUUCAGCCGGGAAGAAAAGGUUGCGACUAAUAAUCGCAAUUCAUGACGGUACCGAAAGAAGAAGCACCGGCUAACUACGUGCCAGCAGCCGCGGUAAUACGUAGGGUGCGAGCGUUAAUCGGAAUUACUGGGCGUAAAGGGUGCGCAGGCGGUUUUGUAAGUCAGAUGUGAAAUCCCCGGGCUUAACCUGGGAACU
rnacentral:rRNA from 1 species